rnacentral:misc_RNA from 1 species
AUCAGGGAUAAGGUCGAAUGCACCGCCAGCUGAUGUCCUCCAACGUCAAAACAUUCGUGUCGCAAGUCAAGGAUUUGACUCAUGAGUAUCGUGGGCCUUUACUCACGCUUGAUUCACUUUCGCCUUUUCUCUUGAGAGCAACUGCUGGACAGAGAUCAGUGUCAGCUAGAAACUCAAAAGGAGAUUCAAGAAAAAGAGGGAUUAAUUGCCACAUACAAAAUGAACGGCUCCAGCACACAAACCUUCGCUCAAAGUGGGGCCUUGCUGAGAGACCGCAAGCAGAAGACUUUCAAGAUCAUUGUCAUUGGCGACAGCAGUGUGGGGAAGACCUGUCUCACUUUCAGAUUCUGUGGGGGACAUUUCCCUGAUAGAACGGAAGCAACUAUUGGGGUAGAUUUCCGCGAAAGAAAAUUAAAGAUUGAUGGAGAGGAUAUUGUGCUCCAGCUUUGGGACACUGCUGGCCAGGAGAGAUUCCGAAGAUCGAUGGUUCAGCACUAUUACCGUAACGUCCAUGCAGUUGUCUUCGUAUAUGACGUUACCAGAAUGGCCUCGUUUAUGUCAUUGCCGUCCUGGAUUGAAGAAUGCAAUCACCACAGCCUCAGCUACAACAUACCGCGGAUUCUGGUCGGCAACAAGUGCGACUGCAAGGACCACCUGGAAGUCCCUACCAAUGUGGCACAGAGAUUUGCUGAUCGCCACAGUAUGCCGCUCUUUGAAACUUCAGCAAAAAAUGACAACGACUGUGAUCAUGUAGAGGCCAUCUUCAUGACCCUGGCCCAUAAACUGAAAGCCUCCAAACCCAUGAUGCCCAUAGACCCCACACAGUUUCCCCCAGAAGACAUACACAGAGCAGAAGUCAUGUCCAUCGGCAGGGAGAGGAACGGGGUAGAAGUGCAGAACUCCAGCUCCUGCUACUGCUGAUACAGAGCUGAACCUGUGUGGUCCAACAAGAGCCUUCCAAGCAAAACUGCCCUGCUUAAUUAUCUGAUGGUCGCUUCUCGCCGCCCUGCUGCUCACGGUCGCCUCGUUCCCUCGCUGCUGGUGGCGGUGGGCGUCGUCCUGCUGGCCCUGCAGAUAGCAGCCGCUGAGGCCUUGGCAAAGGGUUCCAGUCAGCCGUAUCCAGGAGGCUUUCGCAGGCGGG